AUGCUGGGAAGGUGCCCGGGCGGCGGCCAUUUUGUCUUCUCGGCUCCUCUCUGGCAGAGGCUUUGGGGCUUGAGAGUGGGCCGACGGGGGUUCGGUUCGGCGGCCGGGGCGGCUGGUGGGGCUUUUUCGUCGGGUGGGUGCUAGGGCUGGCGUGAGCAGCCGCCCGGAGGAAGCACCAUGAUUUCUGCCGCGCAGUUGCUGGAUGAGUUAAUGGGCCGGGACCGAAACCUCGCCCCGGAUGAGAAGCGCAGCAACGUGCGCUGGGACCACGAGAGCGUUUGUAAAUAUUAUCUCUGUGGUUUUUGUCCUGCGGAAUUGUUCACAAAUACCCGUUCUGAUCUUGGUCCAUGUGAAAAAAUUCAUGAUGAAAAUCUAAGAAAACAGUAUGAGAAGAGUUCUCGGUUUAUGAAAGUUGGCUAUGAGAGAGAUUUUUUACGAUACUUACAGAGUUUACUUGCCGAGGUAGAGCGCAGAAUUAGACGAGGUCAUGCUCGUUUGGCAUUAUCUCAAAAUCAGCAGUCUUCUGGGGCUGCUGGUCCAACAGGCAAAAAUGAAGAAAAAAUUCAGGUUCUGACAGACAAAAUUGAUGUGCUUCUACAGCAGAUUGAAGAGUUAGGAUCUGAAGGAAAGGUAGAAGAAGCCCAGGGAAUGAUGAAAUUGGUUGAACAGUUAAAGGAAGAGAGAGAAUUACUAAGAUCUACAACCUCGACUAUAGAAAGUUUUGCUGCCCAAGAAAAACAGAUGGAAGUUUGUGAAGUGUGUGGAGCCUUUUUGAUAGUAGGAGAUGCCCAGUCCCGGGUAGAUGACCAUCUGAUGGGAAAGCAACACAUGGGCUAUGCCAAAAUUAAAGCCACUGUGGAAGAAUUAAAAGAAAAGUUAAGAAAAAGAACAGAGGAACCUGAUCGGGAUGAACGUCUCAAAAAAGAGAAGCAAGAAAGAGAGGAAAGAGAAAAAGAGCGGGAGAGAGAAAGGGAAGAACGGGAAAGAAAAAGACGAAGAGAAGAGGAAGAAAGGGAAAAAGAAAGAGCUCGUGACAGAGAAAGGAGAAAGAGAAGUCGUUCGCGGAGUAGACACUCAAGCCGAACUUCUGACCGGAGAUGCAGCAGGUCUCGGGACCACAAAAGAUCACGGAGUAGAGACAGAAGGCGAAGCAGAAGUAGAGAUCGACGAAGAAGCAGAAGCCAUGACAGAUCAGAAAGAAAACAUAGAUCUCGCAGUCGGGAUCGAAGACGGUCAAAAAGCCGAGAUCGAAAGUCAUAUAAGCACAGGAGCAAAAGUCGGGACAGAGAACAAGAUAGAAAGUCCAAGGAGAAAGAAAAGAAGGGAUCUGAUGAUAAAAAGAGUAGUGUGAAGUCCAGUAGUCGAGAAAAACAGAGUGAAGACACAAACCCUGAAUCGAAGGAAAGUGACACUAAGAAUGAGGUCAAUGGGACCAGUGAAGACAUUAAAUCUGAAGUGCAGCGUAAGUAUGCACAGAUGAAGAUGGAGCUAAGCCGAGUAAGAAGACAUACAAAAGCCUCUUCUGAAGGAAAAGACAGUGUAGUCCUGCAAAACAUUUUGAGGUACAUUGUUUUGUCUCAGCUAUUUUGUAGCAGACUUCGUGCCCCCAUUAGUGUGCCUCUUUGGAAAUAACUGUCCACGUAUGUAAUAUAGUCGCCAUUGAAAAGUUAAUUAUCCUUUUUUUUAGGGAUUUUGCUGUCAUUUCUUUUUCUUUUCUUUUUUUUUAAUAAAAAGGUUGAACUGUUUUUUUUUUUUUUUCUUUUUGGUAUUAAGUCCAUCUUGUGUUGGUACAUUGGCAGAAACAUAUGCUUUAAAACUUAACUAUUUCUGAGGCACAUGUUGGACUACUUUGUUUUAAUUAAACUGCUAGUAUUUAUUUGUCCAGGAUGUUUCUAGUUUUUUGCUUUAUUGCCUUGCAUUCUAAUGCAGUUUGUUCUGUAACUCGAGAGCCAGUAGCAUUGGAUUGAUGGAAGUGUAGGGUUUAUGAAUUAUUGCAGCUGACUACCAUACCUCACACAGCGUUGGUGUUGUGAGCGGCCCAUGAAAAGCCAAAUUAGAAAUCAAGGAUUCAGUCAAACUAAGCAGGACUACUGUUGAAGAGUUUUUGAAGAAUACUGAAAACGGAAUAAAGUGAAGAUCAACAUUAAAAUGAGGUGAAAGAAAGCUAUAGUGGCGUAGAAAAAAGUAUAAAGCUCAGUUAGUUAUUUGGUUUUUUUAUUAUUAUUAUUAUUAAAAAUUAAUUCAGGACUGUUGUGACCUACCAGAUUUCAGAACAUGUGUUAAUAGCACAUAUGCCACUUUGAAAACUUAGGUCCUGUAUCAUAUUUUUUCUUUAAGACUUUUUAAGAAAUAUUACCUAAACAUGUGGCUUGCUCAGUGUUUACUUGCAAGUUUUCAGUCUUGGACUUUGAAGACAGGAUUACACGUUAGUACUUAUGUGAAGCAGACUGGGAUUCCAUUUUUACACUUCUGCUAUACUUAGCCUUUGGAUUUAGAAGUGAAAAUAAAGUAUCUCUGACUUUCUGUUACAAAGUUGAUUGUCUGUGUCAUUGAAAGGCUUUAGUGUUGCUCUUUUUCUAAUAAAGUGACGACUCCAACUGCUCUCUUGUUUUUAACUACCAGGCACACUAGUAAUGCAGGUGUAGUGAACUUCUCCUAACCUGUCCUGUUGAAGGGUAAUUUUUUACACAACUUCCUGUUUGAUGUUUUAAUGGUGCUUCAAUCUUGGCUGGUUAUGAAAAAAUUUGGAUUUGCUUUCAAUAGCAAAGGUGUACAGUGAACUGCAAUAUAUUUUUAUACCCAUGAGGUUUCUUUAGUAGUAAAAGGUUCUAAAUAACCUCACAGUGUCUUCCUCUGGCAACCUAUGAAAAGGAUUUAGAACUUUCAGCUGUUUUCUUCCUUUCCUUUAAAUCCUAUACUAGUAAUUUCUUUUAACCCAGUCUUGUUUGGUUAUAAAUGUAUAUAUUUCUGUGUAUGUAGUGAGUAGUACAUAUAACAAGGAUAUCUGGAAAGUAAUAAAGCAGGUAUUUCACAUGGAAGUAGCAGCAUGUUUGUAUCUAGCCCCAUUGACUGUAUAAAGUAUUACCCCAAUCACAGGUGGUUACAUAUCAUAGCAGUUCCUUGUGACUUAGGUUUUCAAUACUGCCAUCAGUUUAUAGGUGAAGAAACUGAGCAGAUGGCUUAUCUAGGGAAUGGCCUCGUGUGGAUCAAUAUUAGGGCACAGAGACUGGGUCUCUGCUCUGUCUUUUCUAACUGUAGUGCUGCUGUGCUCCUUCUAGUGUGUGUUAGGGGUCAUCGCAGAAUUUAUUAAGUAAAAUACUCUAUACUAAACUAGGAUGAUCAUGUCGCCAUCACUUUUAGAAGCACUAUAUGAGAACAUGUUAAUCUGGACAGAGCCCUUAUGGCUUCCCCGGCUUAUCUAGAGAUGAGCAGUAGGUGGGGAGGCUGUCUCUGAGGGUUUGAGAGAUGAGGCAGGUGAAGAUGAAGUUAAUUGUCAGCAGCAGUCUGGCACACACCAGGUUAUCCAACUCUGCUUGCUUGCUUGAUGACAUUGUUGUAUUAAGAACGAAAUGUAAGAAAUCUGCUCAAGUACUAAAAUGCCAGAUUGCUUUCUUCUGCCUCAUCUAGACUCAACAGUGAAUAUAAAUGAAGGACAGCAAGUUGGGCUCCUGUGAAAGGCAUCUUCUGGACACUUAGAUGCAGAUAAAGGAUUUGAGAGAGUUUGCCCCUUAGAGUGUCCAGUAUAGAGGCUAGGAAACUUACUAUAAGAAAUGCAUUUCUAUUUUGUAGACCAAAUAGCUGACUCUGUCAUUUGCCGUGUGUGUGUGUGUGUGUGUGUGUGUGUGUGUGUGUGUGUGUGUGUGUGNGAGAGAGAGAGAGAGAGAGAGAGAGAGAGAGAGAGAGAGAGAGAGAAAGAGAGAAUUGUCUGUAUCAUGUCUUUUUGGAGAGCCAGUCUUAAUUUUGAAAUCAGGGCAAGCAGUUAGUUGAUCUUUUUAAAAAUGCCUUUUUGGAACUUACCACAUGAAAGUAUAACAAUAUAAUCAAUCUCUGUUAACCUAUCUCCAGUAAUACUCAUAGCUAUAGCUAGUUCCAUGUGUGUGCAUGUUUUCAGUGUGUGUGGGGAGGGGUCUUGCACAAGUGUAUAUGUGUGUAUUUGUGUGUAUGCACGUCUACUCUUAAUGUAUUCUCAAGCAAGUCUCAGUUAUGCUAUGUAACCUGUGUCUCUGAAAGAAGAGGUUUCUUUGUAAAAUCUGAGCUUUUACUCAGUAGUUCUCAGACUGAUAGCGCUUUACUUUGUAGCUCUCAAGAGGGUGGAGAACUGUAGAGUGUAGACAGCCUCUGCAGCAGACUCCAGCUACACUUCAGUUGGAUUUGAAACCACUUGUGUACCUCUAUAAUCAGGAGCUGUUAAAUUGUUUGAGGUAUUCUGCUUAGGUACAAUAGUUUUCACCUUGAAUGUGGGCAGGAUCACAUACAUACCCUUAUACCCUUUGAGCUGAGCUACCAAAUUAAAAGAUUUGGGGGCUAUACAGUCAGAAGGUUUGACUCUCCAUCUAGGUGGUAGAUAGGUGCAGUUGGUGAGGGGCUUGGAUAUGCUGUAGACGUCAUCUACAUGCAUGGAACCUUCUGUGGGGUGACACUUCAGGGUUGGCUUGCAACCUUCAUUCUGACUCGGUUCUAUUUGCUCAUGAAAGAACCCUCCUUAGAUGGCUGUGCAUUUUAACCUGUUUGAUAACUGCAAUUGUAAUGCUUGCUCUUGGUUUAAAAGCAACAGCAAAAUAUUCGGUAUCUGUCUUCCCUUACCCGUGAUUGUCUGCUCCUUUCUAGCUCCAGGGUCAAGAUCCUGAUGUUGCCUGUUCUUUCUUCCAAGUACUGGGGAAGGGGGCAGGAAGUGGGAGGUGGGAAUAUAAAAUGUCUUUUUAUAUAUGGUGGGAAUAUAGAUGUCUUUAUAUAUGAUGGUGUCCAUCAUAUAUGUUCUGAAUUUGCCAUUUUCAGUUACCAUAUUUGGAAACAUUUAUCUUGAGAUACAGGACACAGUGCUUUGAAGUUGUAAGUGUUGCUUUUAAAAAGUGCGUUUCAAGUAAGCUGAAACAGGGUAAAUGGCAUGUUCAUUGUGUCAGAAUGAUGGAUUUUCUAUUAAAAUACAAUUUCCGAGUUUCACAGUUGAUCUAUUUCUUUCCCUCUGCCAUCUCAAGUAGAUCAGUUAUCUGUCAACAGGUUUGUUUAGGGACAAUUUUGGAAACGGUUCAGCACAGUUAAGUGUCAGCCCUAGGUACAUACUCGAAAAACUCUUCCAUGCUGCCAGGAGAAGGAUGAACAAAUAUCUUCAUGUCAUCUUGUGUGAUGAAGAAGAGAAAACCCAAACCUGCAAACCCCUGGGCGGGUCCCAUCAGCAUUUGUGUGGAUAACUGGCGUGGCCCAUCCCCACCAUGGAAUUCCACGGGCGUGAAGAUGAACUUCAGCUCCGCAUGUGACCUGGACGAUGACCACGACUUAAUAAUGUCCCCAAAAAUCAAGCCACAGAAGGAUUUAUCCAUUAUGAUUCACUUUGGUAAAGGUCAAAACAGGCUGUUAAAAAUACAUGGUAAACGACAGUGAAACAAACAGUUGACAUACAGAUCAUGCUUAGCGGCUGCUUUGAGAAUGACCUUGGAGGGCAAAGUGGGUUUCAGAGUAAUGGCCACCGCUCUUUCUCUAACUCGAUGGGCUUUUUUCUUUUUGAACUGUAUGUUUGUGUGCUUUUGUAUAUAUGCUAUUUCUUAAUAAAAAAUUUUUUUUAAGUGGGAAAAGGACUUGGUGUAGGUAGUGACUGAUAAACAUGCUAGCUAACCUCAAUACAUACAGAUUUUAAAAAUACACUUUCUCCUUUUAUUCUUGAUGGUCUCACUAUGUCUAGCCCAGCCUAGUCUGGACCUUCAGAAUCUUUCCAUCAAUUCUUGGAUUAUGAGUACACUGCCAUACUUGGCCAGAUAUAGAAUCCUGACCACUACAGACAAGGCAUACACAUGUGGUAUCUUUUUUUGUUAAAUGGCAGCUAGGGAAUGGGUACUUGUAAGCAGCCUUCCAAGGAAGGUUAACAAAAACAUUUACUCUUUAAAAAAAAUAAUGAUAAUUAGGACUUGAAAAGCACCA